ACUAUGAAAAUAAGGCCUUGUAAUUCAAGGUCUUCAAGAAAACAUAUUGGAUUUGACAAUCAGAAUUAGUUCUAGAUAUAGACAUAAAUAAAAACCCCAGAAUGGAGGCACUACAAACUGGGAACUAGGAAGAAAAGUUCAUUGUAUUAAGUAGUUUGGUCUGACACAACUCCAGGCCAUUCCCACAGGUCCUGUCAUUGGCACCAGAGAGAAGAGAUCAGUGCCUGUUCCUCCUCUUCCCCCCAGGAGGAAGCUGUCACUGCAGUGAGGUCUGUCCUCAGUCUCCUCCAGGCUGAACAGACCAAGUGCCUUCAGCCACGUCUCUCAUGGCUUACUCUCCUGACCCUUCACAUCUUCACAGCCCUCCUUUAGAUGCUCUCUAAUAACUUUAUAUCUUAUAUACCAGCACCCAGAACAUAGUACUUUAGUAUCCAUGGCCUGUAGUUAUUUUUAAGCUAAAAUGUCCCAGUUUCAGUUUCAGCUUCACCUGAGGCAUCUUGUUAUUUAUUCCUCUAAAGAUGAUUAGUAAUUAAAAAAAAAAAAAAAAUUAAAUUCCAGGGUGUUGUGUAAAAAAUAUGGACUAAGGAGGACAACCAGAGCUCUUAGUGUUUACCACUGGUAUAGAAUCAUUAAAGGACAUGAGAGAGUGUUUAUUAGAAAUUACCUUUCUUCUGCAGAGGCAGGUAUGGCUGUUAAGCACAUAAUGAAAUAUAAGAGCACUCUGUCUACAGGCUCAUUAAUGAGCCUUUGCUGGUGCUACAUCAGCAGUUGCUUUGUUUUAGUGAUGUGCUGUUUUUUAACAAGGCCUUGGCAUGCUGCCAUUAACUCGGUUUUAUGUCUCCUUGGUGUUUUCAUAGCCACAGGCCAGAUGGUUUCAGCAUUAUAUUCUUCCUCUAAAUGAAAGCUGAUCACGGUGUUCCAAAUUACCUUCAUUCUACAUGCUAUAUAUUUUGUUGUGUAUCACUGUGCAUUCAGUGUUAGUAAUUUCAGCUUAAAGUAAACUUAGGAAAUUUUGCAUUUUGGAAUUAUGCAGCAGGUAGAGCUGGUGACUAAGCACAGCUGUCAGUGGGGCUGUUACUUUCUUGGGAUUUGUAGGAUAGGGUACAGCAAUUGCUUGGAAAUUUCCUUUUUAAUGUUCAGUGCGUGAUUAAAUGGUGCACUAGCCUGGGAGGCGUGGGUAGACAGUGCAGUGGUUUACUAUCACAGCAUUUAGGUGUUUCCCCUUGACAUCCUUUGCAAAAACAAACUCCUGUUAGUGAGCCUGAUGUGAUGGGCAGGGAAAUACCUGGUAAUGCUGAAUGCAAGGCUCCGGUUCUUUGUCCCCUUCCUCACCUGGGCAAAUUAACUUUACAGCUUUCACUCAUCCUGGUGGGAUAACUUCUCAUUCUGCACUGAUUACAUCAUGGCUGCUCUCUUGCCUGCUCCUAAAUGUGUGUCUGGAUUUGAGAACUCCAGAAAUGAGCUCUCGGUGAGGCAGGGCAGUGGGAAGGCAGGAGCUAUGAGGGAACUACUUCUCUGCUGCACCCAGAAGAGGGUAGGACUGUAAAAGGUUGUUAGUGGCACAUAUCCAGGAGACAAGAGUUUUUCUGGUGAAACAGGUACCUUGAAAAAGGAAGAAUAUAUAUAACAGAAGCUCAUCUGUAGUUGUGGCUGAAUGAUGCAGUAAAAUGCAGUCGCAUGAGCAUAGCAAAAAUGAUAACAAGACAGAGAAUAUCAGCAGCUGGGAACAGUAUUGCUGGUGCCCACAGUUUGCUGCAGCAGCCAGUAGUGCCUAGACAAGAGAGUACAACCAAGACAAGGGGUUCCAUAUUCCUCUAUAGCUUAAACUCAUUGCAUACAAUGCAAAACGUCCCUUCCAUUCCUCAUUCCAGGAGGAAAUAAUUAAACUGGAAGAUAGAGAAAUUACAUUAGGAAAAAAAAAACCAACAAAACAAAAACAAAAAAAACGUCUCAAGCUGCAUAUUCCAUGAGAAUUUUUUUUCUAUUUUAGUUUUUUUUUUUAAUUACUGUAAAAUUUGAACAAAUUCAAAUAUUUUCCAAACUUUGCAAAUGGGAUGUUAUUGUGAGAGGAUGCCAGAUCCUGGGUGAGGAGGGGGAGGGGUGUUUGUGAGGAAUUAAUGAUCUGCAAAAUCUCCUCUUUAGGUUUACAGUGUCUGUGUCUUGGAUUUCAUAUGUCAUGUAGAAAAUUGACUAGUCUGAUUUUUUAAAAAGUUAGGGAUGCACCCAUUUGCUUAUUGCAUAAACUAUCAAGUGAACUGAUUUGUAUGCCAGCCAUAUUUCUGACAGCUGUUUUGCAUUCAUUGUGGCAAAACCACACUACCACACUCCCUUCCACGUUUAGAAAAUAUCUCUCCUACCUGCAGCAGGAAUUUAUACAGCCUUGCUGAUUUUGUUUUCCCAAGUGGUUUGGAAACUGUUUGGUUUCAAUCUGUCUCUAUCAACAUUAAAACUGCAUUUGGUCUUUUGAGCUUUUCUAGAAACUUCUGAAAAGAAGAACUUAGCUUUGUGAAGCAGAAGUGGCGAGAACUGCUGCUGUACAGGUACAAAGAUCCUUUGCCUGUUUAUUUGUUUUGAAAGCAUUUGUGUUCGAAUUUAGCUUUUUCAAUCAAUAGGUUGAAUAGGUAGCCCGUAGCUAUCUCCGAGUAGAAAACCAACACAUCUCACUAGAGGGAGCCCAGACACAAUUUCUGAUCUUGGUAAGGAGCUAUUACAGCUCACCCUGUUACUUGCCGCGUGUUUUGUUGAUAAAUCUCUCCAGCUGAUUAACUUACAGUCCCCGUGUGGGCAGCUACAUAGCCUGCAUUAUGAAAAGUACACUGAGAUUUCAACUGCAGAUAAUUUGCAAAUCAAUACUGAGCUGGGCAGGGAAACCUCAAAUUUUAUUUUGUUUGUUAGCACUGGUAAAUAUUACCGGAAUACAUUUUUUGAAACCAUAAAAAUGGGUCAGAAGAGUUUUGUUUCACUUCCUGCCUGCCUAUUACCUGCUAGUGCUUUCUUCCCCUUCACUAGAACCUCAGAUCCGUGUACUGACACCCUUCUGCUGCACGUCCUGUUCCUACAAACCAGUGUACCUGCCUCAGACACUCUCCUGGCAGAGCAACACUCCUCAGCCAGAGCCCGACCUUUGCCCUCUGCCCCCGACCUAACCCUCUCACCUACCCACAGCACAUUAGGUAGGUGUCACCAAUGUGCUGCACCUUACACUUUGUGCUUCUCUUUCCUUGCCCCACUGCUGGGAGCUGAGAGUGCAGCGCUUGUGUCGCUGCUGGAGACGUUCUGAGAGGAGCAGUCGGCUGCACUCAUGCAGCAGAAAGGCUCUGUUGAGUCACUGUAAGUGCUGUUGGGAAAGUGUUUAUCUAAGAAGUGAUUAAGGAGUAAAGACCCUUAACAAUGUAGGUUAUCGGGUAUUAUCUGCCAUCAAGCAGUCCUCCCCAUGUCAUGAAGUCGCUGCUCACGUGGAGGCCUUUGCUCUCAUUCAGGCAAGAGUCAGCACGUGGCAGACUUGGGAUCUGCUGCUGUGCCAUGUGAGCUGAAUUCUUAUUAAAAAACACCUGUAAUAAAGUUUGUCUGGCAGGCCUUAGGAGCUUUUUCUGCUGGAGAAGACUAAAGUAUGGAUGUGAGUUGAAAAAAAUCAUCCAAAACACUUAGGACAGUCUUAGCCACUCUGCUAGAGGGGAGUUGCUCCAAGAGGAGGUCAGAGAGGAUCAGACAGUGGACUUUUACCCUUAUCACUCCACAUAUGUUCAAGUCAUAGUGAAAAAGGUUAAUAAAGUCAAUUCCUUAUUUCAUAUGAGUUGAGCCAGCUUCAGUAGAUGACAAAUAAGAAAUUAUUCAAGUAAUAUGCUGAAUAGCUGGUUCUCAGUCCAGGUUAAACACUUGAUGAUAAUCCAGAAAUUCAAAAAAAUGGGAGAGAAUUUUCUCCGUGUUGGUAAGCAAGACUCUGUCCUGGCACAAACCAGAGCAGGGCUCUAGACAGACCUUGCAGAGUUACGUGUGUGUUGCAGGUCUCUCAAGAACAUGCCAAAAAGUUCUGCACUGCAGAUAUUCCUCACAUUGUAUGACCAUUUUGCUCUUUAGGAUUUCUCAAAUUUCAGUUAACUGGCCCUUCAUGCUGCUGAGCAGCCAGUUCUACAAAACAAGGGGAAUUUGCUGUCUCUGCAUUACAUUCUGUGGUUUUGUUCUUUCCAUCCUCACAGUAAAGGCUCCAUGCACUGUCUGCUUAGGUUAGUACCAAACUCAGUAGUGAAGCAAGGCAGUGGUCUGAAAUUUAAACUUCUGCUUUCUACAGAAUGAACAAAAUGUAAUCGUUGGUUAAUCUUGCGGCAGUUCUCAGAAAACCUCCUUGAUGAGAUCUAUUUGUGAACAGAAGAUUUUGAAAAAUGUGCCCCAUUCCAGCAUUACAGACAAUAGGGAUCUAUUAGGAUCUUUGCUAUGAGAAGAUGGAAGACACCUUGCCUUUGUCCAUACUACAGACAGAUCUAAAUUCAAUUGCAGCUGUGCUGUGCCAAGAUCAGUUAGGGGCUGCUGAACAGUAGCUACAUGGGAGACACAGAGGGAUCAGCUUUGAAGUGUUGCUUAGCCCCCUUAUUUCAGCAUAGAAAUACCUUGUCAGGGUACUGUGGCUGAGAGCACCAUUGGAAGUUCUGCUCUCACUACCAAAACUCUGCAGCAAUUUUGCUGCACAAAACAUCCACACAGAACAAAGACAGCUGCACAAAACUGAAUGGUGUGCUCUUUUCUCCCACUUUUUUUCACAGGAACAGGGGGGAUAAAAAAAAACUCCACCACUGCACCAUUUCUUCUCACCUUAUCAGGAACUCCCUGCCCUUCAAUCUCUGGUAAUUCCUGAGGAUGUAGCACUGUGGUGGUGCAAGAUCUGGCCCUUUACCCCUCUCUGGCUUCUUCACGAUCUCAGGGACACUCCUUAGGCCUCAGCCUUGAUUACUGGCUCGUGGGCAGUCAGCUCCCCCUGAGCUUAUCAGAAAAACUGUCUGCUCCCAGGAACUUCUGUUGCCUAACGAGCUUCUGUUUUCUAAAAAAACAGCUUUGAAAACUUAUUUUUGUUUGAGCAACAGCCUAAGAGGAAUAAUAUUAUUAUUAGACUUCUCAAGGAAAAUUCCAGUAACUACCGGCCUGGAUUGUGGCCACAGUGGAAAUUUACUGAUGACCAGAGUAAAUCAUCUUGCAGCCCUGUAAAGAGUGGCCCUAAGUGAGACCCCCUGAGAUCCCCUGGGCUGCACCACAUCUCCCUCAGAGUGGGACAUCUCUAGAGCUCAACAACUCAGAGGACCACUGACGACAGGGCCUGAUACCGCCCCCUCCUCAAGGCUCAGCUGUUGAGAAAUGCAAAGGCAUCCGAUAAUGAGAGAGGGAGAUUUGCACUGAGAUGCUGUACUUUUUGGGAUGAAGAGGAGUGUUUUAUGAAGGACCAUCUUUCCUAACCCUUAACCAAAAGGAAACAGGUACUGUGGAUAGGUGGCCUCCCACCAGAGCUGUUCAAGAUAGUACUGAGAAAAAAAGAAGUCUUUGGAGGUCAGAAGAUGGAAUAUAUUACCACUCUAAAAAUAGCUACAAGCCCUUUACAAAGAGUUAUAUGUGUGUAGUUCAGCUGUGAUUUGUAAAUGUAACAAAAAAGAAGCAGUUAUGUUUUUGCCAGUAUGUAAACUGGAUAAUCUGAUAGUCCUUCUUUGUCUGUGAACAGUCAGUAUUUAAGCUGAGAGAAGAAAAGUACUUGUGCAUACCCUGCAUGAGCACUGACAGACCAUUCAGAUGUACUGAACAGAAGCACCCGGGUGUGGGACCAGGCAUUGAACUGGCCCCAAAGGAGUUCUGUAGGCAGCUCAAGUCAGUAGAGUACAGAAAAUAACAUCAAGGAACUGAAGGCUCUUACCUGUGAGCAGUUUCAGCUAAUUAGAGCGUACAGGCAUUUUCCCUUUAUAAUGACCUUGCUUAAGUAAAAUGCAAGGAGUAUUUGAAGGACUGUUAGACUCUGGUCUUAUAUUCACAAGAUACUUGAGGGAAAGGUGGCUAGAGAAUUUUACAAUUCAGUCUAACACUGAAGACUGCAGACAGAAAAGAACAGGGGAUCUAUCCAGCCAUCCACUUCCUCUUGUUGCAGCAUAAGGCUUCCUCAGAGUUAACAUUCUGGUGCUUUGUCACAAAAUAACACAGUCAGUUCCAGAUAUCCUGUCCACUGGCACCUGACAAAUCACAGGACCUGUUCUCCUGUUGACACCUCCCUUGCUGUGAGGGAUGUGUUGUGUUGGUCACUGUCAGCCACAUUUGCUCAGGUGGCACCUCUUCUUGUGCUCCAACUUUCACCUUCCAUCCCUAAAAGUUCCAUCCUCAGAUAUUUCCAAAGUGUUAUCAUGCCUCUGUAGCUAUUUUAAACUUUAUAAUAUAUACCAUGAACCCAGGAUUAUUUUAUUUUUUUCCUGGAAGAUGUCUCCAAUCCUGUUCCUGGAAAAUUCAUUAUUUCCUGGAUGAUUUUCAUGCAACUGUCUUCAAUUUGUAACAAAGUGGCUGAACUGGAAUGCAGUGUUUUAAAUGAAAGUUUCAAAUGGACACAGGUUUUUAUUUCUUUCUAUGCAGUCUGAUGCUCUACAUUGCUAAUGUCUCCCACAUUUAUCAUCCUCUGGGCAAAACAUUUAUCCUUGUUUCUUUUUGCAUUCCAGGUUUUAACUGCUUUAAUAUAGAUUAGUUUGCAUUUUCUGAAUAUUUUCACUUUUAAUUUCUUGCCAGCCUUUAAAUUACUUCUGUGCAAGUAUGGGAGAAAGUUUAAAAUCUUUAAUUGUUUCAUCAAAAUGAAUUCUGAGCUGUGAGGUACUGCAGAGCCCUCAGCAAGAGAAGUCUGAUAUUUAAGUCCUUAAUUUACUGUGUGGAUACUUUUAUUGUAGAUCAUUCUAGUGCAGCACCAGUUAUUACUUAGUCUCACCAUAGAAAAUGUGUUCUUCCUCUAUAUUGUCUUGUUUGGUCUCCCUGAACUUACAAAAUUAUACUUUUAUCAGUCUUUUCAUACACGUGUUUCAAGUUCAGUGUGAGAAGUGGUAACUGCAGUAAAUAUGGAAGGAAGAGCCUGAGCUCCAGUGAAAAUCAAAAGCUUUGACCUCUGUUGUGCUUCUAUGCGUCAAUGGUGCUUUCACUUCCUUUUCUCAAGAUAUUGUUUAGAGCUGUGUAUGAAUAGAAAUGUUCACAGAAGUUAUUAAAAAAUAAAAGGAUGGAAUCCAAAAGUAA